GAGGUGCGGAAGUUUGCCGCAGCCGCUCAUUGGCAGGCGAAGCCGCUUUCAUCAUUUCUCAGAAAAGUCGAUUUCAUUUUCACUUCCCUCCUGCAACAGCGACAUCAGCACGCUGCCGUGGUGUGGGGGAAGGAGGGGGGGCGAGGCGGAAAUGGAGGUUUCAGUUCCUCGGCAAGGAAAGUCAGAGCUUGCAAACAGCAACUGAUCCCCCGCCACCACCCAUCCACCUUCGCUGUCUUCACCCCCACGUUGUUUAUUUGUUUUUGCAGCCCUGCUUCACGACGGAUGCUGCAUCCUGGGAACGGAAUGGCGUCGGGCUGAAGCAUCUGGCGGAUCCUUCUGCGAGGAGACUCUUUUAGGAGAAGCCAUUCCUUUUCUGAGAUGAUUCGACAAGAUGAUGUGUAACUUCUGCCUGAGAUGUGCUAUUUCUUGAAUGCAGACAAUGACUCAUUCUUGAUUUUGCCUCUCUGUCUUCACUGAUUUUUUCAUCCGGUCAUUUCCGUCACUUCCCUCUUUUCAUCUUUGCUCAAGGGAUAUAUCAAAAGCAAAAGCUUAUUUCAUAUAAUAGAUAAAAGCAUAGUCAGUCAGUACCAAGGCUUGAAAAUGAGUGGGAGAACCCCUUUAGGGAGAUGCCAAAAUUAAUUCCUGUUCAUUUGUUCCCAGUAUUUCUUUUCAGUGUGCCACCUUAUCCUUUCUGUUCAUUAAAUCAUUUGAAAUUCAAAACAA